GUGGGGAAUUUUGGACAAUGGGCGCAAGCCUGAUCCAGCAAUGCCGCGUGUGUGAAGAAGGCCUUCGGGUUGUAAAGCACUUUUGUCCGGAAAGAAAUGGCCUGGGUUAAUACCCCGGGUCGAUGACGGUACCGGAAGAAUAAGCACCGGCUAACUACGUGCCAGCAGCCGCGGUAAUACGUAGGGUGCGAGCGUUAAUCGGAAUUACUGGGCGUAAAGCGUGCGCAGGCGGCGAUGCAAGACAGAUGUGAAAUCCCCGGGCUCAACCUGGGAACUGCAUUUGUGACUGCAUGGCUAGAGUGCGUCAGAGGGGGGUGGAAUUCCGCGUGUAGCAGUGAAAUGCGUAGAGAUGCGGAGGAACACCGAUGGCGAAGGCAGCCCCCUGGGAUGACACUGACGCUCAUGCACGAAAGCGUGGGGAGCAAACAGGAUUAGAUACCCCAGUAGUCC
rnacentral:rRNA from 1 species